UCGGUGUUGUGAUUGGCUUUGCGACUCACUUCAGUGUUGCGAACUUAGCGACGUUGUCGUUAUAUUUAUCAAGUAUUCAAACCCCUCUAGCGACACAUUUUCAAAAAAGCGACUAGCGACAAAUAUAGCGACUUUUCCUGGUGUUAUUGGAGACUUUUGGAGACUUUGACGUGAAAGCACGUAUCGUUCUUACUCUUCUCAACGAGCAGCGUGAGUUGGCAACACACCAAGUGCCUGCGCAAAGGUGAAAGUGAAAGUUGGGUCUCAGUAUAGGACUGAGGUGUAGAUUGUUCUGUAAAAACGUGUAGAAAUGCACAUAUAGUGACUAUUAGAGUGGUUAUGGAUUUAAAUAAACUAUUUUGAAUGUGAAGUGGAGGACGUGAAGACCAGUAAAGUUAAAAUGGCAGUGUCCAGAGUUCAGAAUCAGUUUAAACUCACCUCAGAAGUCUAUUUGGAGGUUAAAGUUGGUAAAGAGGUCACCCUCCCCUGUCACCUCUCACCUGACACCAGUGCUGUUGCCACGACGAUCAGGUGGUUUAAAAGGACAGAGUGUAUUUACCUGUAUAAGAAUGGCCAGGUGACAGAGAGGAGUGGCUAUGAGGGCAGAGUGAGUCUGAUCACCCAGGAGCUGAAGAGAGGCAACGUGUCUCUGAGGCUGAGAUACUUCAGGGAGUCAGAUACAGGAGUCUACAUCUGUCAGGUCAUCCAUGGAGAACAGAAGGAGGAGGCUGCAGUGGGUUUAUGGAUCAGAGGAGGUAAGUGUUCUAGAACUCCAGUAAUGUUUCUAAACACCUAAACAACAACAAUAACAACCAGUCUCUUUCCCUGUACAGAACACUUGUACUUUCUCAUGUAGGUAGGAGUUCAUAGUAGGAGUUACAGAUGAGUAGACUAGAUUCAUUCUGAAUAUCAACUUGUUACAAUGCAUAUUACCAUCACUAAUGUAAGGUCUACCUGGUUAAAUAAAGGUGAAAUAAAAUACAUUUUAAAAAGACAAAGAACAGACCAGAGUGUUAAUCUGAUACUAUAAAAACUACAGGCCUUGUGAACAGCAGUGUGUAUUUUUUAAGGCUACAAUUUAAAUCAGUUUAUUUUCAUUUAUCAAUACUCUCCCCAAAUGUUCUCAAGGUUGGUUGGAUAAAGAUGUAUAGCUGUUCUUCAAAUUAUCCAGAAUUUUCAUAUCAUAGAUCUCCUACAAUAUAUCUGCUAUGGAGGUCAACAUUUCACAUAGUUCUCCCACAAUAUAUCUGCUAUGGAGGUCAAAGUUUCACAUAGUUCUCCCACAAUAUAUCUGCCAAAGAUGUCAACAUUUCACAUAUCCCUCCCACAAAAUAUCUGUUGUAGAGCUCAACAUUUUAGAGGGGUUGAGUUAAAUGCGGAAGACACAUCUCAGUUGAAUACAUUCAGUUGGACAGCUGACUAGGUAUCCCCCUUUCCUUUCCCUUUCACAAUAUAUCUGCCAUGGAGGUCAAUAUUUCACAUAGUCCUUCACAUAGUCCUCCCACUAUAUAUCUGCUAUAGAGGUCAAUAUUUCACAUAGUCCUCACACUAUAUAUCUGCUAUAGAGGUCAAUAUUUCACAUAGUCCCCCACUAUAUAUCUGCUAUAGAGGUCAAUAUUUCACAUAGUCCUCCCACUAUAUAUCUGCCAUAGAGGUCAAUAUUUCACAUAGUCCUCCCACAAUAUAUCUACCAUGGAGGUCAAUAUUUCACAUAGCCCUCCCACAAUAUAUCUGCCAUAGAGAACAACAUUUCACACUCCAAAAUGAAAAUAGAAUCAGCUUGAAUUUAGCUUGAUGUCUUAUUAUGAAGCAUUCAGUCAUUCUCAGACUGCUCACAUAGUAGUGCUGCUUACAUCCCUUUCCCUAGAUGUACAUUAGUAAUGAAUGUGAUGAACAGUCAUCCCAAUGUGAUGUAUGGUAUUUCAUUAAAUUAUGUAAUGAGACAGACAUUCAAUGACCAAUAAUGCAUUCUGUUUUACAUUAUCAUUAUUCAUGACUCUCCAUCUUGGAUAAUGGAUGAUCAGAUGAGGGUGAGUAUUUACUUAUUUGUCUGUUUUGUUUAUUGACAACCAGUAACACAAGACAAAGAACAGACCAGAGUGUUAAUCUGAUACUAUAAAAACUACAGGCCUUGUGAACAGCAGUGUGUAUUCUUCAAGGCUACAAAUUAAUUCAGUUUCUUUACAUUUAUCAAUACUCUCCCCAAAUGUUCUCAAGGUAGGUUGGAUUAAGAUGUAUAGAUGUUCUUCAAAUUAUCCAGAAUUUUCAUAUCAUAGACCUCCCACAAUAUAUCUGCCAUAGAGGUCAACAUUUCAGAGGGGUUGAGUGAAAAGCGGAAGACACAUCUCAGUUGAACACAUUCAUUUGGACAACUGACUAGGUAUCCCCCUUUCCUUUCCAUUUCACAUAGUCCUCCCACUAUAUAUCUGCAAUUGAGGUCAAUAUUUCACAUAGUCCUCCCACUAUAUAUCUGCCAUAGAGGUCAAUAUUUCACAUAGUCCUCCCACAAUAUAUCUGGCAUUGAGGUCAAUAUUUCACAUAGUUCUCCCACAAUAUAUCUGCCAAAGAUGUCAACAUUUCACAUAUCCCUCCCACAAAAUAUCUGUUGUAGAGCUCAACAUGUCAGAGGGGUUGAGUUAAAUGUGGAAGACAUAUUUCAGUACAAUACAUUCAGUUGGACAACUGACUAGGAAUCCAUUUUUCCCUUUAACUUCCCUUUCACUUAGUCCUCCAACAAUAUAUCUGGCAUUGAGUUCAAUAUUUCACAUAGCCCUCCCACAAUAUAUCUUGCAUUGAGGUCAAUAUUUCACAUAGUCCUCCCACAAUAUAUCUGGCAUUUAAGUCAAUAUUUCACAUAGUCCUCCCACAAUAUAUCUGGCAUUGAGGUCAAUAUUUCACAUUGUCCUCCCACAAUAUAUCUGGCAUUUAAGUCAAUAUUUCACAUAGCCCUCCCACUAUAUAUCUGGCAUUGAGGUCAAUAUUUCACAUAGUCCUCCCACAAUAUAUCUGGCAUUUAAGUCAAUAUUUCACAUAGUCCUCCCACAAUAUAUCUGGCAUUGAGGUCAAUAUUUCACAUAGUCCUCCCACAAUAGUUCUGGCAUUGAGGUCAAUAUUUCACAUAGUCCUCCCACAAUAUAUCUGGCAUUGAGGUCAAUAUUUCACAUAGGCCUCCCACAAUAUAUAUGUCAUUGAGAUCAAUAUUUCACAUAGGCCUCCCACACUAUAUUUGUCAUUGAGGUCAAUAUUUCACAUAGGCCUCCCACAAUAUAUCUGGCAUUGAGGUCAAUAUUUCACAUAGGCCUCCCACAAUAUAUCUGUCAUUGAGGUCAAUAUUUCACUUAGCCCUCCCACAAUAUAUCUGGCAUUGAGGUCAAUAUUUCACUUAGCCCUCCCACAAUAUAUCUGGCAUUGAGGUCAAUAUUUCACAUAGCCCUCCCACAAUCUAUCUGGCAUUGAGGUCAACAUUUCUCACUUCGAAAUUAACAUGGAAUCAGCUUGAAAUCAGUUUGAUGUCCCAGUAUGAAUCAUUUUGUGAUGUUUAGACUGUUCCAAUAGUAGCACUGCUUACAUCUCUUUCCCUAGAUGUACAUUAGUAAUGAAUGUGAUGAACAGUCAUUCCAAUAUGAAGUAUGGUGUUUUAUUAAAUUAUUGUAAUGAGACAAAAAUUCAAUGAACAAUAAUAACUAAUGCAUUCUGUUUUACAUGAUCAUUAAUCAUAACUCUCCAUCUUUGAUAAUGGAUGAUCAGAUGAGGGUGAGUAUUUACUUAUUUGUCUGUUUUGUUUAUUGACAACCAGUAACACAAGACAAAGAACAGACCAGAGUGUUAAUCUGAUACUAUAAAAACUACAGGCCUUGUGAACAGCAGUGUGUAUUCUUCAAGGCUACAAAUUAAUUCAGUUUCUUUACAUUUAUCAAUACUCUCCCCAAAUGUUCUCAAGGUAGGUUGGAUUAAGAUGUAUAGAUGUUCUUCAAAUUAUCCAGAAUUUUCAUAUCAUAGACCUCCCACAAUAUAUCUGCCAUAGAGGUCAACAUUUCAGAGGGGUUGAGUGAAAAGCGGAAGACACAUCUCAGUUGAAAACAUUCAGUUGGACAACUGACUAGGUAUCCCCCUUUCCUUUCCCUUUCAUAUAGUCCUCCCACUAUAUAUCUGCCAUUGAGGUCAAUAUUUCACAUAGUCCUCCCACUAUAUAUCUGCCAUAGAGGUUAAUAUUUCACAUAGUCCUCCCACAAUAUAUCUGCCAUAGAGGUCAAUAUUUCACAUAUCCCUCCCACAAAGUAUCUGUUGUAGAGCUCAACAUUUUAGAGGGGUUGAGUUAAAUGCGGAAGACACAUCUCAGUUGAAUACAUUCAGUUGGACAACUGACUAGGUAUCCCGCUUUCCUUUCCCUUUCACAAUAUAUCUGCCAUAGAGGUCAAUAUUUCACAUAGUCCUCCCACUAUAUAUCUGCCAUAGAGGUCAAUAUUUCACAUAGUCCUCCCACUAUAUAUCUGCCAUAGAGGUCAAUAUUUCACAUAGUUCUCCCACUAUAUAUCUGCCAUAGAGGUCAAUAUUUCACAUAGCUCUCCCACAAUAUAUCUGCCAAAGAUGUCAACAUUUCACAUAUCCCUCCCACAAAAUAUCUGUUGUAGAGCUCAACAUUUUAGAGGGGUUGAGUUAAAUGCGGAAGACACAUCUCAGUUGAAUACAUUCAGUUGGACAGCUGACUAGGUAUCCCCCUUUCCUUUCCCUUUCACAAUAUAUCUGCCAUGGAGGUCAAUAUUUCACAUAGUCCUUCACAUAGUCCUCCCACUAUAUGUCUGGCAUUUAAAUCAAUAUUUCACAUAGUCCUCCCACAAUAUUUCUGGCAUUGAGGUCAAUAUUUCACAUAGUCCUCCCACAAUAUAUCUGGCAUUUAAGUCAAUAUUUCACAUAGCCCUCCCACUAUAUAUCUGGCAUUGAGGUCAAUAUUUCACAUAGUUCUCCCACAAUAUAUCUGGCAUUUAAAUCAAUAUUUCACAUAGUCCUCCCACAAUAUAUCUGGCAUUGAGGUUAAUAUUUCACAUAGUCCUCCCACAAUAGUUCUGGCAUUGAGGUCAAUAUUUCACAUAGUCCUCCCACAAUAUAUCUGGCAUUGAGGUCAAUAUUUCACAUAGGCCUCCCACAAUAUAUAUGUCAUUGAGAUCAAUAUUUCACAUAGGCCUCCCACACUAUAUUUGUCAUUGAGGUCAAUAUUUCACAUAGGCCUCCCACAAUAUAUCUGGCAAUGAGGUCAAUAUUUCACUUAGCCCUCCCACAAUAUAUCUGGCAUUGAGGUCAAUAUUUCACAUAGCCCUCCCACAAUAUAUCUGGCAUUGAGGUCAAUAUUUCACAUAGGCCUCCCACAAUAUAUCUGCUUUUGAGUUCAACAUUUCUCACUUCGAAAUUAACAUGGAAUCAGCUUGAAAUCAGUUUGAUGUCCCAGUAUGAAUCAUUCUGUGAUGUUUAGACUGUUCCAAUAGUAGCACUGCUUACAUCCCUUUCCCUAGAUGUACAUUAGUAAUGAAUGUGAUGAACAGUCAUUUCAAUAUGAAGUAUGGUGUUUUAUUAAAUUAUAUUAAUGAGACAAAAAUUCAAUGACCAAUAAUAACUAAUGCAUUCUGUUUUACAUGAUCAUUAUUCAUGACUCUCCAUCUUGGAUAAUGGAUGAUCAGAUGAGGGUGAGUAUUUACUUAUUUGUCUGUUUUGUUUAUUGACAACCAGUAACACAAGACAAAGAACAGACCAGAGUGUUAAUCUGAUACUAUAAAAACUACAGGCCUUGUGAACAGCAGUGUGUAUUCUUCAAGGCUACAAAUUAAUUCAGUUUCUUUACAUUUAUCAAUACUCUCCCCAAAUGUUCUCAAGGUAGGUUGGAUUAAGAUGUAUAGAUGUUCUUCAAAUUAUCCAGAAUUUUCAUAUCAUAGACCUCCCACAAUAUAUCUGCCAUAGAGGUCAACAUUUCAGAGGGGUUGAGUCAAAAGCGGAAGACAUAUCUCAGUUGAAAACAUUCAGUUGGACAACUGACUAGGUAUCCCCCUUUCCUUUCCCUUUCAUAUAGUCCUCCCACUAUAUAUCUGCCAUUGACGUCAAUAUUUCACAUAGUCCUCCCACUAUAUAUCUGCCAUAGAGGUCAAUAUUUCACAUAGUCCUCCCACAAUAUAUCUGGCAUUGAGGUCAAUAUUUCACAGAGUUCUCCCACAAUAUAUCUGCCAAAGAUGUCAACAUUUCACAUAUCCCUCCCACAAAAUAUCUGUUGUAGAGCUCAACAUUUUAGAGGGGUUGAGUUAAAUGCGGAAGACACAUCUCAGUUGAAUACAUUCAGUUGGACAACUGACUAGGUAUCCCCCUUUCCUUUCCAUUUCACAUAGUCCUCCCACUAUAUAUCUGCCAUAGAGGUCAAUAUUUCACAUAGUCCUCCCACUAUAUAUCUGCCAUAGAGGUCAAUAUUUCACAUAGU